CGCUCCUAGCAGCCCCCCCUCACACGCAAGCGCAGUGUCUGCUCUCACCUGGUCAGAGACCUUCAGACACAAGCACGAACUGUAAACAACAACAACAACAACAACAACAACAACAACAGAGCAGAAUCAUGUCCCACCAUCAUCCAGGUCCAAGAGAAGAAAUAAGAAGCCUGAAGAAGAAAAGCAGAGUGAAAACAAAGAAGUGGACCGAGCCAGAGAGGAAACCAGGAUAAAUAUCAGAGCAUCAUUUCAGAGGUGGAGGAGCUGCGGGUCUGUCAGGACUUUUCUGCUGGACAGUGUCUCUCCGCCUGCACCUCAUCAACUUUUGCUGCUCAUGAGGGAAACGUCGCUCUCUUCAGAUGAUCUGGAAAUAUAUACACAGACGCCUCAUUGAAUUAUGAAUGUAACAAAUAAAGAUUGAUUGAAAGAUGA